rnacentral:rRNA from 1 species
GUAAAUGUGGAGCCGUAGCGAAAGCGAGUCUGAAUAGGGCGUUUAGUAUUUGGUCGUAGACCCGAAACCAGGUGAUCUACCCUUGGUCAGGUUGAAGUUCAGGUAACACUGAAUGGAGGACCGAACCGACUUACGUUGAAAAGUGAGCGGAUGAACUGAGGGUAGCGGAGAAAUUCCAAUCGAACCUGGAGAUAGCUGGUUCUCUCCGAAAUAGCUUUAGGGCUAGCCUCAAGUGAUGAUUAUUGGAGGUAGAGCACUGUUUGGACGAGGGGCCCCUCUCGGGUUACCGAAUUCAGACAAACUCCGAAUGCCAAUUAAUUUAACUUGGGAGUCAGAACAUGGGUGAUAAGGUCCGUGUUCGAAAGGGAAACAGCCCAGACCACCAGCUAAGGUCCCAAAAUAUAUGUUAAGUGGAAAAGGAUGUGGCGUUGCCCAGACAACUAGGAUGUUGGCUUAGAAGCAGCCAUCAUUUAAAGAGUGCGUAAUAGCUCACUAGUCGAGUGACACUGCGCCGAAAAUGUACCGGGGCUAAACAUAUUACCGAAGCUGUGGAUUGUCCUUUGGACAAUGGUAGGAGAGCGUUCUAAGG